GGGGAUUUAGCUUAGUGGUAGAGCACUUGCCUAGCAAGCACAAGGCCCUGGGUUCGGUGCCCAGCUCCG
rnacentral:tRNA from 1 species